rnacentral:misc_RNA from 1 species
GUAGUUUUUGGUGAAGGAUAAGAGACAUACAAAGCAAAGUAAGAGAAUGUUAAAUAACAAGAAAAAUAAACAAAAAUAAAUGAAAAAACAGAAUAGAGAAGUGCACAGGAUAAGCAAAUAUGGGGAAUCUCUGUCUUCUAUAAAAUGGACAGGAAUAAGAGUCCUUAAUCACCAAAAUCACCAAAUCCCACGGAUCCUAUCACUGCACCCUCUCUUCUCCUUCAACCUUAUCCCUCCAUCUUAUCUCCUCAAACCUUCAGAAAACCAAAACCAAAUCCAACACAUCGCAGCAAAAACCUCUCCCCCACCCCCAAAACACUAACAUUUGUCAACCCAAAAAAAAUCGAUCUUUUAAAAAAACAAAAAAAGAAAAAAUAAAGAAUAAAGAAAAUCGUAGCCAAUCAGAUGGAUGCCAACAGCCAGCAGGCCCAAUCCGCCUCUUACCCGCCACAGCCUCCCGCCAGUGGCGCCCCUGCUCCGCCUGCUCCAACCCCUUUCCACCACCUCCUCCAGCAGCAACAGCAGCAACUCCAAAUGUUCUGGUCCUACCAGCGCCAGGAGAUCGAGCAGGUGAAUGAUUUCAAGAACCACCAACUUCCUCUCGCUCGUAUCAAGAAGAUCAUGAAGGCCGAUGAAGAUGUUCGCAUGAUCUCCGCUGAGGCUCCCAUUCUAUUUGCUAAGGCGUGUGAACUCUUCAUUUUGGAGCUUACUAUACGGUCUUGGCUUCACGCCGAGGAGAACAAGCGCCGGACUCUUCAGAAAAACGAUAUCGCUGCAGCCAUUACCAGGACCGAUAUUUUUGAUUUCUUGGUGGAUAUUGUGCCCAGAGAUGAGAUCAAAGAUGAGGCUGGGCUGGGAGGGAUGGUUGGGGCCACGGCUAGCGGAGUGCCUUAUUAUUAUCCGCCAAUGGGGCAGCCGGCAGGUCCGGGCCCUGGAGGAAUGAUGAUUGGGAGGCCCGCCGUGGAUCCUACUGGAGUUUAUGUCCAGCCACCUUCACAGGCUUGGCAGUCUGUGUGGCAGACGGCUGCGGCUGAGGAUGGCUCGUAUGGAAGCGGAGGGAGCAGCGGGCAGGGGAACCUCGAUGGACAAGGUUAAGCAAGUCAGAUGCUGUGGUGCACCCAGAAGGCAAUGAACCUCAGCUAAUACUACUUGGAUUUUUGCUUGCCUAAGAUUGUUAAUGUGCGUGUCUGCUAUUAUUAAUGGAAGCUGUCUUUGAUUGUAACGGCAUAACUAGAAACUUAAAACGUUGACUUAAUUUUGUAACAGCCAUACAAUCGUUGUCAUGACUUGCCUGAUUAUAAACUAAUGUGCAGUUUCUUGAUUUACGAUCCUUUUCUUGGUGAUUCUGUUUUUCCUGUACUCAAGUUGAAUCUCGUUUGUGAAAGAUCAUACUUGAAAUGUUAAUUUUCAUUCUUUGCUUUGUCUUUUAUGUGAGUUUGAAACGGAACUGAACUUGUACCAUCCCGUUGCACUUUGAACUGGAUGAACUAGCCUGAAAUUUUCUUGCUGCCAGAAUGCAAUUUCUCGGUUUGGAAGCCAAGCUGACAGGGCUUUGGCGGGAGCCACUAAUCAGCACCCGAGACUAAUAUGUAGCUCUCCUACUCCUAAAGACGUGCACAUAUAUCCAGCUUUCUUAAUAGGUGUCCAGUGAAAUUUGGAUCUCUCUAUCCCAUCAGGCGAUAAGAGAAAAGCAAAGAAGCCAACAAAACAAGAAAGUCAUAGUGUCCAUCAUGGGAAAACAAUAGGAUCCUAAGUAGUAUGUCCUGUGAUUAUAUGAAAUGAGGCUAUAUAUUUGGUAGUUUUGGAAAUUCCAUUUUGUAGUAUCAUUAUUAUUUACUUUGC